GACGAACGCUGGCGGCGUGCCUAAUACAUGCAAGUUGAGCGCUGAAGGUUGGUACUUGUACCGACUGGAUGAGCAGCGAACGGGUGAGUAACGCGUGGGGAAUCUGCCUUUGAGCGGGGGACAACAUUUGGAAACGAAUGCUAAUACCGCAUAAAAACUUUAAACACAAGUUUUAAGUUUGAAAGAUGCAAUUGCAUCACUCAAAGAUGAUCCCGCGUUGUAUUAGCUAGUUGGUGAGGUAAAGGCUCACCAAGGCGAUGAUACAUAGCCGACCUGAGAGGGGGAUCGGCCACAUUGGGACUGAGACACGGCCCAAACUCCUACGGGAGGCAGCAGUAGGGAAUCUUCGGCAAUGGACGAAAGUCUGAACGAGCAACGCCGCGUGAGUGAAGAAGGUUUUCGGAUCGUAAAACUCUGUUGGUAGAGAAGAACGUUGGUGAGAGUGGAAAGCUCAUCAAGUGACGGUAACUACCCAGAAAGGGACGGCUAACUACGUG
rnacentral:rRNA from 1 species